rnacentral:rRNA from 1 species
AUUGAACGCUGGCGGCAGGCCUAACACAUGCAAGUCGAGCGGUAGAGAGAAGCUUGCUUCUCUUGAGAGCGGCGGACGGGUGAGUAAUGCCUAGGAAUCUGCCUGGUAGUGGGGGAUAACGUUCGGAAACGGACGCUAAUACCGCAUACGUCCUACGGGAGAAAGCAGGGGACCUUCGGGCCUUGCGCUAUCAGAUGAGCCUAGGUCGGAUUAGCUAGUUGGUGAGGUAAUGGCUCACCAAGGCUACGAUCCGUAACUGGUCUGAGAGGACGAUCAGUCACACUGGAACUGAGACACGGUCCAGACUCCUACGGGAGGCAGCAGUGGGGAAUAUUGGACAAUGGGCGAAAGCCUGAUCCAGCCAUGCCGCGUGUGUGAAGAAGGUCUUCGGAUUGUAAAGCACUUUAAGUUGGGAGGAAGGGCAUUAACCUAAUACGUUAGUGUUUUGACGUUACCGACAGAAUAAGCACCGGCUAACUCUGUGCCAGCAGCCGCAGUAACAC